GAUGAACGCUGGCGGCGUGCCUAAUACAUGCAAGUCGAGCGAACAGAUGAGGAGCUUGCUCCUCUGACGUUAGCGGCGGACGGGUGAGUAACACGUGGAUAACCUACCUAUAAGACUGGGAUAACUUCGGGAAACCGGAGCUAAUACCGGAUAAUAUAUUGAACCGCAUGGUUCAAUAGUGAAAGACGGUUUUGCUGUCACUUAUAGAUGGAUCCGCGCCGCAUUAGCUAGUUGGUAAGGUAACGGCUUACCAAGGCAACGAUGCGUAGCCGACCUGAGAGGGUGAUCGGCCACACUGGAACUGAGACACGGUCCAGACUCCUACGGGAGGCAGCAGUAGGGAAUCUUCCGCAAUGGGCGAAAGCUUGACGGAGCAACGCCGCGUGAGUGAUGAGGGUCUUCGGAUCGUAAAACUCUGUUAUUAGGGAAGAACAAAUGUGUAAGUAACUAUGCACGUCUUGACGGUACCUAAUCAGAAAGCCACGGCUAACUACGUG
rnacentral:rRNA from 1 species